CCAAUGCUAUGGGUUCACUUAGGCAAAGAGGAGGCAACACUGUGGGAAGCCUAUUCCCAAAGAGAAGCAGAAUUUGUUUGGGUUUAUACUGAGACCCAAAUGCCCCUUCCAGAACCUUCUUAUUCCCCAGCCCAUUCAUCAUGGAAAGCACAACACAGCUGGCAUCCAAGAUAAAUUGGAAUUUCAAAAGCAAACCACAUACCAAACUGGAUGGAGCUGCUUUGUUCCAGAGUACAUCAACAAACCUUUCAUGAUUCAGACAAUCCAUGAGACACAUCUACUGACUGCCUCAUGAGCGUGUAUGUUUGCUUUGGAUUUAAUACACAUCAUGGAAACUA